GGGCCAUUAGCUCAACUGGCAGAGCAGCUGACUCUUAAUCAGAAGGUUGAAGGUUCGAUUCCUUCAUGGCCCACCA
rnacentral:tRNA from 1 species